GACAGAGGGUGCAAACGUUGCUCGGAAUUACUGGGCGUAAAGGGCGCGUAGGCGGCCACCGCAAGUCGGUUGUGAAAUCUCUGGGCUUAACCCAGAAAGGUCAACCGAUACUGCGGGGCUAGAGUGCAGAAGGGGCAACUGGAAUUCUCGGUGUAGCGGUGAAAUGCGUAGAUAUCGAGAGGAACACCUGCGGCGAAGGCGGGUUGCUGGGCUGACACUGACGCUGAAGCGCGAAAGCUAGGGGAGCGAACGGG
rnacentral:rRNA from 1 species